ACCUUUCCGGUUGCAGCCUGAGAAAUUAGGCUGAUGGCUGGUGACUUUUAGUCACCAGCCU
rnacentral:sRNA from 1 species